UCACCUUCGGGUGGAUAGUGGCGGACGGGUGAGUAACACGUAGUUGACCUGCCCUAUGGUGGGGAAUAACUCCUCGAAAGAGGAGCUAAUACCGCAUAAGUUCACACGCGUGGGUGUGUGAGGAAACCCCGGCUUCGGCUGGGGGCCAAAGGAGGGGACUGCGGCGGAUUAGCUAGAUGGUGGGGUAACGGCCUACCAUGGUGACGAUCCGUAGCUGGUCUGAGAGGACGACCAGCCACACUGGGACUGAGACACGGCCCAGACUCCUACGGGAGGCAGCAGUGAGGAAUAUUCCACAAUGGGCGAAAGCCUGAUGGAGCGACGCCGCGUGAGGGAUGAAGCCCUUUGGU
rnacentral:rRNA from 1 species